GACGAACGCUGGCGGCGUGCCUAAUACAUGCAAGUCGAGCGGACUUUCAAGAAGCUUGCUUUUUGAAAGUUAGCGGCGGACGGGUGAGUAACACGUGGGCAACCUGCCUGUAAGACGGGGAUAACUCCGGGAAACCGGGGCUAAUACCGGAUAAUAUCUUUCUUCGCAUGGAGGAAGGUUGAAAGGCGGCGCAAGCUGCCGCUUGCAGAUGGGCCCGCGGCGCAUUAGCUAGUUGGUGAGGUAACGGCUCACCAAGGCGAAGAUGAGUAGCCGACCUGAGAGGGUGAUCGGCCACACUGGGACUGAGACACGGCCCAGACUCCUACGGGAGGCAGCAGUAGGGAAUCUUCCGCAAUGGACGAAAGUCUGACGGAGCAACGCCGCGUGAGCGAAGAAGGUCUUCGGAUCGUAAAGCUCUGUUGUCAGGGAAGAACAAGUACCGUUCGAAUAGGGCGGUACCUUGACGGUACCUGACCAGAAAGCCACGGCUAACUACGUGCCAGCAGCCGCCGUAA
rnacentral:rRNA from 1 species